UAUUUUUUUCCAACUUACGUAUACAUCACAUAUAAAGCAAACGAUACAAAUAUUUAUAUUAUUUUAACACAUACUAAAAUUAUAAAACGUACGUAUGUUUUAAUUAUAACCUUAGGUUAACCGAUAACAAUAAUCCUAUGCUUUCAGACCCAUGAACUUGAUCACAAUUUGAUCACAAAUCUCCUAAAACACAAACCAAAAAGCCUCUAUUAAUCCAAUUCAAUUCAAGUAUUCAACCCAAGGUAGUACGGAACUCCAGUAGCAUUCAACCACUGAUCACCCUGAAGAAAACUCCCAACCGUAAACUGCGCGGCCUCGGUCGCAUUAACAAUCACCUUAUAUCCGGGCCAACUAACCCGACCAGUCGUAUUCGACCCCGGCCCUCUAUUCAUAAACUCGCCAUAAUAAAGCGUACUCAACGCAAAACUCCCGGACCACUCGAGCCACCCAGCCGGGUCAAUCAAAUCCCCGAUAUACGACCGCAUAACAACCGUUCUAGAAUACUGUCUCCACGGCCUCCCGAGGUACGACUUAAACAUCGUCUGGUUCGGAAUCAGUUCCGAACCAGCAGCAAUUUUGCAUUCUAGAAGUGAAAUACCCGUGUUUUGGUUCGGGUCAUCGCGCCCUUGGGCUGUGAAUAGGUUUUUUUGAUUCGGGUCUGGUUUUCGGGCGUAUAGGUUGUUAUACCUUUGGCUAUGAAGUUGCGAGUUACUAACUUGACGAGAAAUAUUUCGUAACGAUUUACUGAAAUAUCUCCGGACUUUGUUUCGCGAUUUGCUAAACGCGAAUCCGUCGAGACACGUGGCCUGAUUCGUCAUCGCGGCACUAAGAAGCGUUUCUAGAUCGGAAUGUUCACGAUACGACGUAUUCCGUUUGAGCUCAGAGACCGCGGAUGUGAGCGCGGUAACCGUUUCGACGAACAAAGAAUGACAGUCAUCGAGUGCUCGGAUUUCGAUCGCAGAUAGGUUACGUAACUUCUUGCGAAUAGCGGUGACGUUGAAGUCGGUGGAUCUGACGUCAUUUACCGUUUGGUUUAUCGUGGCGGAGAUGAUCUCCGGUAGUGGUUUUGACUGGAGAUCUGGUAGGAUGGUGGUUAGGGUUUGUGUACAUAGGUUGUAGUAGAGUGAACCGGUGCAAUGUGUGUGUGCGGUUUGUGUUUGGAUGUGUUUGUGAAUGUGUAUGGGUAGAGGGGUGUGUUGGUGAAAUAGUGAAAGUUGAGGGGGGUGUUUUGUAAAUUUGAAAAAAGAAGAAAUCGAAAAUGCUAGUAGGAUGAGAGUAGAGAGUUUUAUGAGAAAGGUUUGCAUGGUGGAAAUGGAAGAUGUUAGGAC
rnacentral:lncRNA from 1 species